CAACCAGACCAUUUUUCGAAUACAUUUAGAUCAACACGCACAACUCAUGUUCACAUUAGCACAAUUUAUGAAAAGCAUCAUUUUUCUCCCAAUAAAAUUGAAAUGGUAAAAAAGACAUUGUGCAACAGCAUUAGCUUUCAAGAAAAAAUAAUUCCUAACCAGCCCACAUUAAAGCAAAAAACCAAAAUCAUGGCAUCCUCUAUUGUAGAAUUAAGAAAAAUAGGCUCUCGUGGGAUAGAUUGGUUCACCUUGAGGUACAAUGAAUAGAUUAGAAAACAAGCAGAAGUUAGUCCUAUUUUGGAAUCUGCAAUAAUACUCAGUUAGAAAGAACUGCAAGAUAAAGGCACCCAUACUUACAUGAGCCAGCAGAUGUGCAGCCUGGGCAAUUGUGGGAAGGUGAACUGCUGUGAAGCAUGAAUGUAGCUCGAGAAAGACAACCCCUAGAUUUGAACCCGUUGGUACUCUUCAUCUCCCACAAAUACCGCAUCAGCAGAUUGAUUGGAAUAUCA
rnacentral:lncRNA from 1 species